CAUUCCAACUUAUCUGAACAUGUUUCAUGGGCCGCUUAAUUCGAAUCGCACUGUGACUUGGGUUGAUUGGUCCCUGGGGGGCCCACAUCCAGCAACAUACAGGGGAAUUAAUGUUACAGAAAGUUUUAUACAGUCUAUUAGGAGUAAUGGGACAGAAUGUUCAUACAAUUCAGAGAUGACUUCUGUUUGUUACCUCUUUGCUCGAAAGUUUCAUCCAAGUGCACUGGAGCCCUUGCUUAACCUCACCUCAACAG
rnacentral:misc_RNA from 1 species